UUCCUGGCUAGAUCAAGUCGACCGCGCGAGUGAUAAGUAGCCGUCAACCGUCGCUGUCGCCGUGUAACCCAGAAAAAAAAAAACUUAAAAGAAGCGUCUCCCUAACAGCUAGUUUGAAAUACAUAAGAUAAUUUUGUCUAAAUAUUGCGUAUGGAAUUACCUCGAUAAUACAAUGAUUCGACUGUAAUUUGAUCGAGGAUCAGUUUUCGGAUUGGGCCGCGUUGGCGAACGUGCGUCGUAUUCCAAUGACCGUCUUGAGUGAGUGAGGGAACGCUGAACGACGCGAUGCGACUUCGAUUCGUUACGGCGAAAACUAGAAAGAUGUUUGCCCACAUAUAUUGUGUCUUAACUAAAUAGCCAGUCCAGUGUCCAGUCACAGUGUUCCAGUGUUGGGUCUCUUUUCCGUGAUGGCAUAUUGCACUACCUACCCUUUAUCGCACUUAAAAAGAUUAUCAGGCCAGCGCAUUUUUUGGUCCAAAUCCAAGAAGGGAUUUUUAAAGUUAAAUAGUAUGAUAAAAUAAAACAUAAGACAGGUGAAAUUUUGUACAAGGAGGUAAAAUGGACAGCGGUAAAUAGACAAGAAUGGAAAAUACCCCCCGAAAAAAGAAUUAAAUCAUGUUUUACUAGAGGCCCGUCCCGACUUCACUCCGAUAUUUAUAUAAUAAAUUAUACACCUAAACCUUUGUCAGGAAUCACAGUAUCUAUUGGCGAAAACCGCAUUAAAAUCUAUGCAGUAGACAGACUGGACAUACUUUGUUUUACGAGUAUUAAUAUGUAUGGAUAAGCAUAUAGAUAUUGCUUGCCUUGCUGCUUUAUCGUUCACCUAGGACACCGGGUGAAUUGAGAAAUGAAACUGCGUAGAAUUUUUUUAUGAAUAGACAGGCACUUUUAAAACCUUUAAAGGUUAUAUCGAUGUUAUAUAUGCGGAUCCAUAAUAUAUGACUUUGCAGGAAGUAAUCUUGCUUGCUCGUGUGGAAAACGAACAGUUCCUUUUAUAAUAACGACGCUGUUCAUAAUCCAUAAAAUACAUUUAGUCGAAUAAUUUAUCGUAAUCAUGAUCAUCAAUCCUGAUCCACUGCUAGGUGUCCGUAUACGCCAACCAUCUCUGUCCUGGGUGAUCCAUAUCCAAUUCCACACGAUAGUAUUACGUUCUAGAGAACAGUCAUGUUUGAAUGAGAAUAUACCUAUGUAUUAAUGGUCUAACUAUUAAAGAUACCCAAAAAAGAUAAUUUGUCUAACAAAUUGUCUACUCCAAGACAAGUUUUUUUGUUAGACAAAUUAAAAAAAACCCCGACUUUCAAUAUUCAUUUCGCUAAAACUUUUAUUGAACGGCUUAACAGAUUUUUAUGAAACAUGGCUAAGAACAUUCAGGAUAAAAUUAUCUAUGACACAAAAACACUAAACGUAUAUCGAUUCAUCCGUUUGGGAGCUACGAUGCCAUAGACAGACACGUUUAACGUGAUGUCUGUAUAUACACGUUAAACUUAUAGCACUCAUUUUUUGCGUCGGGAGUUAAAAUUAUAGAAAAGGGGGCAAUUUGGAGGUACAGAUUUGAAAAAAUGGCUAUGUUCGAAGUCUUGUACUACCUUCGGACGCACGAUUGAUACAGAAGAUAGAACGACUAAACUUACGGGUGAUGGUCACAUAACAUUGCCAUACAUUACAGUAUAAGAAAAUCUCGAUCUACAUACCUACUACUCGAAAGCAACUUCGACGUAUUCUUAUCGCAACAAAAUCGCUGGCAUCAUAUAUAUACCGACGCAGUACAAAAACAACGGCGAAGUUCAACUCCAUAAAUCACAAAUGUAAAAGUUAUGUACGAGCGAAAUCACGAAAUUUGUGUGAAAUAUGCUGUAGGAAAUUGAAACGCGGCUUGAGACCGCCCGCUGUGACCGCCACUUUGUCAAUUCGGCCAUUUUGAGAAAAGAUUAGGUCGGUCAGAUUACACGCACUUUUUCUUAGAUCUCGCAUUCACUUUUGUUGGCUGUAGCACUUGCGAAAACGUCGGUACCUCAACAAAAAUCAAAUGAUAUACUUAUAUAUACAAAUAUGGACAGAUCACACAGCUUAACUUAGACCCAAAGGAAAUUACGAGACUCGUGUUAUGGAAUACUAACUCAAUUAUACUAAAUUUUUAAAUAUAUACCUACGUAAUGUCGGAGUACGUAAUAUUGCGAUGCUUAAAAAUUUUUCAAACUAUUUCCACUCGAAAAGAAGAGUCACACAAUUUCGGGGCUCGGGGCGUCACAUCCAAGAGCAAUGUGCAAGAGCAAGAUGAGCAAUUUACAUUUAUUAGGAAAUCGUCUGUAACCCGAACUUUCCAACCAAUUUCAUAUCAAUGUUACUUCUAUUUAUAGCAUCUGUGCACGAAACUGGAGCAACAAAUUAGCCACUACCCACAACUAAUUACAAUUAAGCUUGGAUUCCGUGAAUUCACUGCCAAUGCUGAACAGAAACAGCGAAUUAGGCGAGUAGAACAAUACCCUUUGGUUUUUUACAGUUAAUUGUGAUUGGAAUGCAUUUACCGUUUCAUCGAAACAUGGCUCUGUUAGUUUAUAGACUAGCUAAAACACUUAUCUGUUUGAUUCCUCGCUUUCAAGCCUGUGACGCGAGCCCCGGGGUUAGCGUACAAAAAAAAAGAUUCGGCCGCCUAUCUCAUGUCUCCUUGGAAAUGCUAUUGUCGCCUAUCAGCUAUUAGCAUCAUCAUUAUGCCUAAUGUUGACCUCUUCACGCUUUGUCUGCUCAAACAAUCGUAUUACCUAUAUUAGGCCCAUUAUAUUACACUGUAAAAUGUUUAACUACCCACAAAUGUAUUAUUUAUCUAUAAUAUUAUGGAAUGCAAUAAAUUAUUUGAAUUUGAAUUUUGAAAUUUUGCAUACAUGUAGUUUAAAAGUUUAAAGUACACAACAUUAUCUACAGUUUUAUGACAUUAUGUAGACAAAUUUAUGUAGUCGUUACGUCUUGUUCAAUAAUAAUUGCCAUAAAACUUCGUUUCCAUUAUUAUAUUAUGUUACAAUAUUGUGAUCUAUGAGAGUUAGUUGUUGCAAACUGCCAACAAUAAAAACCUGAUUUUUUUAGGGUUUACAGAUAUAUCAAAAUGUUCUGAUCAAUUUUCCCGAUUUCUUCUUUAAAUGUCAAUUUCUGCAACAUGCCAGCAACAUUGCAUCGGCAUGGCCUACAUAAAUAAUAGCUUUUGCAGUACAAUUUAUAACUAAAUAAAAACAUUACGGUGAAACUUCACUGACCUACUAACAGAACAUUUUUAGCCCCAGUUUUAUGAAGGUAUUUAAUUUUUUUUUUUAAUUUAGAAAUUGAUAGCAGAAGUUUUUUGUUUUAUUAGUAUUGUUUCUAUAUUUAUGGUCUUGAGUUAAAAUUGAUACAUC